CUUCGACUCCAUUUGAGUCCAGCUGUGUUUGAUAAUACUGAUUGGACUUGAUUAGCAAAGCCACACACCUGUCUAUAUAAAACCUUACAGCUUACAGUUCAUGUCUUGUAUAUAAGGUUGUACCAUAGGCAAAUUCGUGUUUAUGGCAGGCUGGAUUGUGUGUUCACAUUUGUGUGCUUGUUCUAGAUCCAUCUGUCUAUUCCAAUCGCAUACAUAGCUAUUCAUCCUUCCAUCUGUCUGCUACCUAUGUGUUUCCUUCCAUCCCAGCCAUGCAAACAAGUGCUCUCAUCCCUUUCUAAAAGUGUCAGCGCAUAUUUCAUCUCCUCAAUUAAAGACUUGACUGCAAUCCCACACAAACAAACACAGCCUCUAGCAUUCACACGCAGCAGAAUCUGUGGAUGUUUUACAAGGAACACUGAAAAACUGGGGCCUUUGACAACCACACAAACAAUUGCUCUGGAAACAAAAUGGCCGCAGUAUUGAUCACUCUGAGGAAAGUCUGUAAAAAUAUGGACAAAUAUGAGGAGAGAAUAUGGGAAGAGCUGACUGGCCAAGCAGGCGAUAAUGAAUUGGAAGGGAAAGUCCAAGGCAGUGGAUGAGACGCAGACCAGAGUGUGCACUGCUAACCUUUGCGAGCGCUAAAUCAAAUAAGGCUUGAGGCUGCGGUAGCAUCUGUGUGUCACGAAGCAGACGGCGAUGUCAGAUAAGAGCAGUAAGUGUACCCUGUUUCCAGAACAGCGAAGGAGUCAGGAUGGGGUGUGUUACUUCUACAUUCUUUCAGGCUAAUGGACACAGACUGGCAAACCAACAGCAUUUAUACCAAGGAACAAUCCAGGUAUUUUAAGAAACACAGAAUAUGAGGAGCUGUGACUCCCACCCUUAACAAGUCAUAAACACUGAACAACAGACAUUUAAGCCUGAUAAUCUCCUUACAUUUACAACACACUCAUACAAUAAUACUUCAACAUAGGGUGCUAGUCAGGCAUCACAGUAAUGACACAUCACAGUGCUGAUGUACUGUCCGGAAUGGGUGACAUUUUAUGGUCUUGGAAGAAAUAUUAUAACUUGACUAACCGUAUACCGUGACUAACUUUUUUUGUGGACUAUUCGGCUUAUAUAGUGCUUUUGUGACUCAAACUUACAGAUAUGGUUUGUGCAUGCCUUCAUGUACUUUGGAUAUUUUCUUUUAAGUUAAAUAAUCCGUAAAUUAGUUCAGGCACACCACAAAGCUAUUGAUUAAAUAAAGUUUGACAUCACUCU